rnacentral:lncRNA from 1 species
UUUGAGUCCAAUACAAAUGCUGAAAGCUCAAAGCUACUUUGGGAAAUGCAAUUGUGUUUGGUAAAUAAUUCAGCAUUUUACAGAAUGCUGAAAGCCCAAAGCUAGUCCCUACCAGCUUUGGGCUUUCAGCAUUUUGAAGGCAAGUUGAAAGCUGAAAGCCGGCUUCAAAGUUGAACCAAACAGUCCAGCAUUUCCCCAAGGGGCUUUCAGGCCUGAAAGCCCCU